GAUCUACAUCAAUCAAACAUUCCUUUGAUAUUUGGCAUGGAGCCAAAAAUCCUGGAAAACAAAUUAUCAAGUUUGCAUAGGUUGACAACAUGGAAAACGAGAACAACAGUGGAAAGGUAUUGGCACAGACUCCAGGUACUUGUGAUACUCCUGUGGGACAGGAGCUUCCCACAAGUUCUAGAAGGCAGAAGCAUCAGUACCAGGAAAGUAGUAGAGUGAGGAGGCAGAGACGUAGGGACCAAUUAAUGGCAUGACCCAAGGGACAAGAGUCUUGUCAGGAUUUACAGAUUGUCUCAAUUAUCACAGAUGAGACGCCGAUUGAGCAGAAGAGAAGUAAAUUGCUGAAGGACUAUCAGCGUGAGGUGUCUCGCACUCGUAAACCAAAGAUGGCAUUACUGAGAGAAAUCUUUGGAAGAGGAACUAUAAUUUGCUGGCUGUUUCCCUGCAAUGGUCCACCAUCUGGCAGUGGCAUAACUUACACCUUCCUGCCAAACUACGAUGUGUGACACUUUACUGUAACUGUACAGAAUGCCAUGCAGCUUUGUUUGGCCUGGGCCUUCCACAGCAUCUGUUUCCUGUUUCCCAUUGACCCUUCACUACUGACACAUCCUGCCUAGAGCCACUUGCCUCCCCCACCAUUUCCUUAACAAGACUGCUGAAACCUUCACUGAUUGUCUGAACAGAAGUGAGAUGGACAGAGACGAUCAGUUCAACCUUUUUUGAAAGUGUUUUUGCUGUAGAGUUUUUCUUCUGAAUUGUCUGCUGAGGAAGAGAUGACCGGUCUUUUGGAAUCCAGCUGCAGAAAUGAAGACGUGGGUUUAAGCACUUUGACAGAUUGGUUACAUUCUUCAAACUACAGCGGCUGUCAGCUCUGCUGGUUGUCCAUAAUUGCUUUGACUUGUUCAGUUCCUGUUAUUCAUAAGAAUUCUUCAUUCCCUUUUAAGUGCUUUGGUAUAUUUUGUUUCAUUUAUCUGUUUGUUUUUGUUAGCUGUUGGGGGUGGGAGCUUUCUUUUUUUUUUUUUUUUUGUGUGGGGGUGGGAGCUGCUUUUUUUUUUUUUUUUUGAGUGGGGUGCAGUGAGACUGGUAUUUCUGCUGCUAAUUGAAGCAUAACCAAAGGGACUUGGUGUUUAAUUGCAGUUGUUAUUGUGUUUUGGAGUACUUGACAUUUGCACUUUAGUUAUGUUACUUUUUGCUCAUAGUCUUACUGAAUUUAUGGGAGGGUUAAAUGCAGUUAAGUGAAAGCAGGGAAGAGUUGAUGUUGGCGGUACUCUGUGUGUUAGUUACCAUUGUUUACUCACUCAGCUGUUAUUGCCAUCUCUUAUUGCGCACACUGACCUUGAUGCGUUAGAAAAGCAAGACUGGGGUAAUGUCUUGAAGCUAACAGCUGUACUGUAUGUUGCAAGCAAUGCCUAAGCUGCAGUCCAAAGAUUCAGCUUAAGUGAUGGUUUGCCUUCUGUAAUGCAGCGGCACAUGAAUUCAGUAAUUUAAAUCAGAGAGGCGCACACACUAAUGCACUGAUAGUGAAGGAUUGUAGUGUCAAUAUGAUGUCUUAAGUCCCUGGGAGAGGGCUGCAUUCUGAGUACUUUAAUGAGAAUUCAUUAAACGAGUUUCAUAUGAAGUGCUUGAUGAGUUACAGUAGCUAUAAUGGAUUCUGUGUUGGAUGUACAUGCACUGCUCUGAAAGCUACAGGGCUGUGACCCCCAAGAGCUCUGCAUUGAGAGAUUAGGAAUUAAAGCCUAGUUUGGUAAUACUGACUUAAUGAUUACACUUGGCAUUUUGAAUUUGACUGUGUCACUGUGUUAAGUAACUAAUUUCAUAUCACAGUGGGGACAAUGGCUUUUAAGCUGUGGUACAUGACUGCAUUUGGCUUACCUUGUUUACUGCAAUAUGGAGAGUAAGGACUGAAUCCUAAUACAGAAAUUUUUGGUAGUUUGAUUUGGAUUGCAUGCCUGUGAGUGUGAAUGUGGUAGUUCAUACAGACAGCUCUUGUUUAGCGACUGUCAUUAGGUUGUGCUGCUGUAAGAGGAAGGUUCUAGACAGCUCUUGUUUAGUGUCUGUCGUUAGGUUGUACUGCUGUAAGAGGAAGGUUCAUGUCCCAUUAUAGUAUGUUUGCUGGUUUGCAUCCACUUGCAGUAGAGUGAGAAUGCAGUUUGGUUGCCAGCAGUGAAUGCAUAUACUUGAUUUUUAGCUUUAGACUCUGCUGAAGUGACAAGUUUAAUUGAUAACUUUGGGCUGUACUGCAGACAGUAGCUUUAAAAUCCCUAGGCAGAAAUUCCCACAUUUGAUAGCUGCGUUUAGACUCCAUUUUGUUGAAAGCAAAGUCACUGAGCAGAGUUUCAUAAGCUGAAAUGACGGUGGUUUAUGGUAUGAUUGAUAGCUUUGGGCUGUACUGCACAGAAUAUCUUUUGAAUCUCGGGCAGAAAUCCCACUGUGUUGGUUGUGUUUUAGCUAUAUUCCAUUGAAAGCAAAGGUCCGUUCCCUGGGCAGAACUUUGUAAAUUUGAGUUUAGAGUUCCACUGCUAAAACUUGCAGUGAUGCAUUUUAUUACAGUCAGAGAAGGAUCUGAAUCAUAGGGUACAGUUUCCCAUGUUAUCAAUGGUUACCUUUUAGGCUACAUCUCAAAAGAGAAAUGUAAAUCGUAGCAGAACUAUAAUAGAUUAUCCGGUACCUUCAUUCAGUUCCCCUGUCUAACUGCCCACUGAACUCUAAAUUGAACAGUAAGGAAAAGUUAAGAGGGAAAAAAAAUCCCUUCCUGUCUUCUCAAAGCUGAGGACAAAAAAAAAAAAAAAACUGCUACUACUGCU